UACAGGGGGGGCAAGCGUUGUUCGGAAUUACUGGGCGUAAAGGGCUCGUAGGCGGCCAACUAAGUCCGACGUGAAAUCCCAAAGCUUAACUUUGGAACUGCGUCGGAUACUGGAUGGCUUGAAUUCGGGAGAGGGAUGCAGAAUUCCAGGUGUAGCGGUGAAAUGCGCAGAUAUCAGGAGGAACACCAAUUGCGAAGGCAGCUCGCUGGGACGUAACUGACGCUGAGACGCGAAAGCGUGGGGAGCAAACAGG
rnacentral:rRNA from 1 species